UACGGAGGAGGCAAGCGUUAUCCGGAAUCAUUGGGCGUAAAGCGUCCGUAGGCGGCUAGUCAAGUCUGCGGUCAAAGACUGGGGCUUAACCCUGGAAAGGCCGUGGAAACUGACGAGCUAGAGUGCAGUAGGGGUAGAGGGAAUUCCCGGUGUAGCGGUGAAAUGCGUAGAGCUCGGGAAGAACAUCGGUGGCGAAAGCGCUCUACUGGACUGCAACUGACACUCAGGGACGAAAGCUAGGGGAGCGAAUGGG
rnacentral:rRNA from 1 species